rnacentral:snRNA from 1 species
AGCUUUGCGCAGUGGCAGUAUCGUAGCCAAUGAGGUUUAUCCGAGGCGCGAUUAUUGCUAAUUGAAAACCAAAUCUCACCCAAGACCCCGC